UACGUAGGGGGCAAGCGUUGUCCGGAUUUACUGGGCGUAAAGAGCGCGCAGGCGGCUGGUCAAGUCCGAUGUGAAAGCUCCCGGCUUAACUGGGAAAUUGCAUCGGAAACUGAUCGGCUGGAAGGUGGGAGAGGGUAGCGGAAUUCCCGGUGUAGUGGUGAAAUGCGUAGAUAUCGGGAGGAACACCAGUGGCGAAAGCGGCUACCUGGCCCAUUCUUGACGCUGAGGCGCGAAAGCUAGGGGAGCGAACGGG
rnacentral:rRNA from 1 species